GCUUUUUCAGUAUAAAUUUGUACAACCGCCUUCCAAGCAGUAAGUUUGAUAUUCAAAAAAAGUA
rnacentral:tRNA from 1 species